ACUUUGUCCUUUCUAGGUUUUUACAGCCUUAACUUCAUUCAAAGCAGGCCGCUGGUGUGAGCAAUGCAGAGGUUCUUUGCCUGAGGAGGGAUGAGGAGCUCGGAGAGCUUCAGCAACUUGCUCAAGAUUGCGCAGCAGACAAAGUUUGCUGACUCCUGGCCUAGCCUAGCUGGAAGGAAACACUGGAAACUGGUGACCUGGCUGGCUGCUCUGGGAGAGGAAGGGACAGCUGAGGGAUGAGCCUCUCUUGAAGGACAUUAGGGGAAUCUAGCUAGGGGCUUGUGCAGCACCACCUGUGCCUGCUACUCCCUAGAACUGCCUUUUCAGCAAGCACCAUCUGGGGUGUCACUGCUCUCUGUGGGGGAGGCGACUCCUGCCUGCUACCCAGUGCUGGAAGACUCCCCUUCCCAAGGA